CUUGGUAGCUGUGUGUUUACAAGGGAGCUGUUUUUAACAACAGCAUUGUUUUUCUAAAUGCAUGCAGGUAUCGAGGAAUGUUCUUUUGUCAUGAUGUUACUAAAGUCCAUUUUACCAAAUCAAAGAUGAAAACAGACUGAAAGUACCCAGAAACCUGAUUUGCAAGAGUGAGACCAACAGUUUCUGCAGGGCAGAGCGGUGACACUUUGGCAUGAGUAAUUUAUGUGGUUGUUGAUAUGCUGUGACAGAGUCUUCACCCACAACUCCGUAUGUAGCCUUUGCAGCUCGGAUCUGCCUCUGGGAAGAGCAACUCACCUCGGCAGUGUGAACAGCAAAAUGGGUAGUAGCUGCUCUUGUCACACGGGUCCCUUCCAGAGCUUCAGGUCACAGGAUGCAGAAGACAAGAUCCUGUGUUCUGCCUUCAUAAGGGCAAAUGCUGAAGAAACUCGAGACUCUUUGCUGUGUGCCUGGAAACCUGCCUGUCUYGGGUGA
rnacentral:lncRNA from 1 species